UUUUAGCCCAGAUAGCAGGGAAAAUCCUUUUUUAGGCGAUUUUUUCAGUGAAAAAAAGAUUAGAAUGAUCGCUAGAAAUAGC
rnacentral:sRNA from 1 species